AAGACCUAGCAAUAGGUAUGCUUAGGGAAGAGCUUGCGUCACAUUAGUUAGUUGGUGGGGUAAUGGCCUACCAAGACGAUGAUGUGUAGCCGGGCUGAGAGGUCGAACGGCCACAUUGGGACUGAGACACGGCCCAAACUCCUACGGGAGGCAGCAGUAAGGAAUUUUCGGCAAUGGAGGAAACUCUGACCGAGCAAUGCCGCGUGAACGAUGAAGUAUUUCGGUACGUAAAGUUCUUUUAUUAGGGAAGAAAAGAUGGUGGAAAAACCAUUAUGACGGUACCUAAUGAAUAAGCCCCGGCUAACUAUGUGCCAGCAGCCGCGGUAAUACAUAGGGGGCAAGCGUUAUCCGGAAUUAUUGGGCGUAAAGGGUGCGUAGGCGGUUAAAUAAGUUUAUGGUCUAAGUGCAACGCUCAACGUUGUGAUGCUAUAAAAACUGUUUAGCUAGAGUUGGAUAGAGGCAAGUGGAAUUCCGUGUGUAGUGGUAAAAUGCGUAAAUAUACGGAGGAACACCAGAAGCGAAGGCGGCUUGCUGGGUCUUAACUGACGCUGAGGCACGAAAGCGUGGGGAGCAAACAGGAUUAGAUACCCUGGUAGUCCACGCCCUAAACGAUGAGUACUAAACGUUGGAUAAAACCAGUGUUGAAGUUAACACAUUAAGUACUCCGCCUGAGUAGUACGUACGCAAGUAUGAAACUUAAAGGAAUUGACGGGACUCCGCACAAGCGGUGGAUCAUGUUGUUUAAUUCGAAGGUACCCGAAAAACCUCACCAGGUCUUGACAUGCUUUUGCAAAGCUGUAGAAAUACAGUGGAGGUUUAUCAGAAGCACAGGUGGUGCAUGGUUGUCGUCAGC
rnacentral:sRNA from 1 species